UCGAGGAUCUUUGGCAAUGGGCGAAAGCCUGACCAAGCGAUGCCGCGUGGAGGACGAAGGCCUUCGGGUUGUAAACUCCUGUCGAGGGGGAUCCUUAUAUCUGGAGGAAGCACGGGUAAGUUACGUGCCAGCAGCCGCGGUAAGACGAACCGUGCGAACGUUGUUCGGAAUCACUGGGCUUAAAGGGCGCGUAGGCGGCUUACCAAGUCAGGGUGAAAUUUUGCGGCUUAACCGUAACAGUGCCUUUGAUACUGGUAGGCUCGAGGGAGAUAGGGGUCUGCGGAACUUCUGGUGGAGCGGUGAAAUGCGUUGAUAUCAGAAGGAACGCCGGUGGCGAAAGCGGCGGACUGGAUCUCUUCUGACGCUGAGGCGCGAAAGCUA
rnacentral:rRNA from 1 species